GCUUGCUAUUUAAUCUUAGUGGCGCACGGGUGAGUAAUAUAUAGCUAACUUGCCCAUUACUAAGGGACAACAGUUGGAAACGACUGCUAAUACCUUAUACUCCGUAUCUAUAUAAGUAGAUACGGGAAAGUUUUUCGGUAAUGGAUAGGGCUAUAUCGUAUCAGCUAGUUGGUAAGGUAAUGGCUUACCAAGGCUAUGACGCGUAACUGGUCUGAGAGGAUGAUCAGUCACACUGGAACUGAGACACGGUCCAGACUCCUACGGGAGGCAGCAGUAGGGAAUAUUGCUCAAUGGGGGAAACCCUGAAGCAGCAACGCCGCGUGGAGGAUGACACUUUUCGGAGCGUAAACUCCUUUUCUUGGGAAAGAAUUAUGACGGUACCCAAGGAAUAAGCACCGGCUAACUCCGUGCCAGCAGCCGCGGUAAUACGGAGGGUGCAAGCGUUACUCGGAAUCACUGGGCGUAAAGGACGCGUAGGCGGAUUAUCAAGUCUCUUGUGAAAUCUAACGGCUUAACCGUUAAACUGCUUGGGAAACUGAUAAUCUAGAGUAAGGGAGAGGCAGAUGGAAUUCUUGGUGUAGGGGUAAAAUCCGUAGAGAUCAAGAAGAAUACCCAUUGCGAAAGCGAUCUGCUGGAACUUAACUGACGCUAAUGCGUG
rnacentral:rRNA from 1 species